CAGAAUGACUGCUUUUGGCCGAAAGCCGUCGGUCGCCAACGGCAGCAAUCGGCCAAAAGCAGUCAUUCAA
rnacentral:misc_RNA from 1 species